CAUGCAGCCGAGCGGUAUUUGUUCUUCGGAACAGAGAGAGCGGCGUACGGGUGCGGAACACGUGUGCAACCUGCCUUUAUCUGGGGGAUAGCCUUUCGAAAGGAAGAUUAAUACCCCAUAAUAUAUUGAAUGGCAUCAUUCGAUAUUGAAAACUCCGGUGGAUAGAGAUGGGCACGCGCAAGAUUAGAUAGUUGGUGAGGUAACGGCUCACCAAGUCAGUGAUCUUUAGGGGGCCUGAGAGGGUGAUCCCCCACACUGGUACUGAGACACGGACCAGACUCCUACGGGAGGCAGCAGUGAGGAAUAUUGGACAAUGGGUGCAAGCCUGAUCCAGCCAUCCCGCGUGAAGGACUAAGGCCCUAUGGGUUGUAAACUUCUUUUAUACUGGGAUAAACCUACUUACGUGUAAGUAGCUGAAGGUACAGUAUGAAUAAGCACCGGCUAACUCCGUGCCAGCAGCCGCGGUAAUACGGAGGGUGCAAGCGUUAUCCGGAUUUAUUGGGUUUAAAGGGUCCGUAGGCGGAUCUGUAAGUCAGUGGUGAAAUCUCAUAGCUUAACUAUGAAACUGCCAUUGAUACUGCAGGUCUUGAGUGAGAUUGAGGUAGCUGGAAUAAGUAGUGUAGCGGUGAAAUGCAUAGAUAUUACUUAGAACACCAAUUGCGAAGGCAGGUUACCAAGUCUUAACUGACGCUGAUGGACGAAAGCGUGGGGAGCGAACAGGAUUAGAUACCCUGGUAGUCCACGCCGUAAACGAUGCUAACUCGUUUUUGGGCUUUCGGGUUCAGAGACUAAGCGAAAGUGAUAAGUUAGCCACCUGGGGAGUACGUUCGCAAGAAUGAAACUCAAAGGAAUUGACGGGGGCCCGCACAAGCGGUGGAGCAUGUGGUUUAAUUCGAUGAUACGCGAGGAACCUUACCAAGACUUAAAUGGGAAAUGACAGAUUUAGAAAUAGAUCCUUCUUCGGACAUUUUUCAAGGUGCUGCAUGGUUGUCGUCAGCUCGUGCCGUGAGGUGUUAGGUUAAGUCCUGCAACGAGCGCAACCCCUGUCACUAGUUGCUAACAUUCAGUUGAGGACUCUAGUGAGACUGCCUACGCAAGUAGAGAGGAAGGUGGGGAUGACGUCAAAUCAUCACGGCCCUUACGUCUUGGGCCACACACGUGCUACAAUGGCCAGUACAGAGGGCAGCUACCAGGUGACUGGAUGCGAAUCUCGAAAGCUGGUCUCAGUUCGGAUUGGAGUCUGCAACUCGACUCUAUGAAGCUGGAAUCGCUAGUAAUCGCGCAUCAGCCAUGGCGCGGUGAAUACGUUCCCGGGCCUUGUACACACCGCCCGUCAAGCCAUGGAAGUCUGGGGUACCUGAAGUCGGUGACCGUAAUAGGAGCUGCCU
rnacentral:rRNA from 1 species